CUUGCAAGAGUGGUUUUUAUGGCCAAAUCUGUAUGUUUAAAUGCCCUCUUCCAGUAUUUGGCGUCAGAUGUCAGUCGUUGUGUCACUGUCCUAAUGAAAGUUGUCAUCAUGUUUAUGGCUGCAAAAAAGCAUCAGCUGAGUGUGAAGAUGGAAGGUUUGGUGAUAACUGCGAAUUGUUUGCCGAUACCCUAACUAUGGAAAAGAAUGCCAACUUCAAUGCAAAUGAGAAGAAGAAAAUUGUAAUCCAACAAGACGAUGUAAAUAAUUAUUGUCUACUCAUCGUACCUCCUCUGGAGCAUAUACACGUUUUUUGGUUCCAACCAAAACCUCACACUCAUUUGAACGAGUUUCUACAUAUUCUAGUUUGAUGACAAACGUAGACGAUGCCUCACAAGAAACAAGCGAUGGUAAGAAAUGCAUAGAGAAAAUGGAUCAAGUGCAGAUAAAGAACGCGUCAUCAUCCCUAAUUUUCAGUAUCGUAGGGCUAUUAAUUGUUGCAGGCUUAUUUCUUGUUAUUUAUAUAUGCAUUAUCCUCUACAGUGCUUCUGCUCAGAGAUUUAGUGGUGUUUAGUGUCUUGUUUUAUAAAGGUCUAGCAUAUAAACUUUGUUUUAAGAUUUGUUUUUAUGAUUUUUUUCAUCAUUUCUUCUAUACAUGAAACGUUCCUUUAAAGUCAAAAAUUAUAUCAGAAUGAUAAUAAAAAUGUGCCUUAGUAAAAUAAAAGUAGAUUUUUAUCACUUCUUUUCAUUGUAUAAUGCAACAAGUAUCCUUUUUAAAGGAAUGAUUGGUAUAUAUUGGAUCAUUCAUAUGAAUGCAGGUCUUCAAUAACAUCGUGACUAUGAUUUCCUUUACAGAAUUUUCAA